rnacentral:rRNA from 1 species
UAGGGAAUAUUGGGCAAUGGGCGAAAGCCUGACCCAGCCAUGCCGCGUGAAGGAAGAAGGCCUUCUGGGUUGUAAACUUCUUUUAUACAGGAAGAAAAAGGUCAUGCGUGGCCAAUUGACGGUACUGUAUGAAUAAGCACCGGCUAACUCCGUGCCAGCAGCCGCGGUAAUACGGAGGGUGCAAGCGUUGUCCGGAUUUAUUGGGUUUAAAGGGUGCGCAGGCGGCGCGUUAAGUCAGUGGUGAAAUCCUCCCGCUCAACGGGAGAACUGCCAUUGAUACUGGCGUGCUUGAGUACGGACGAGGUAGGCGGAAUUUAUGGUGUAGCGGUGAAAUGCAUAGAUACCAUAAAGAACACCGAUAGCGAAGGCAGCUUACUAGACCGUAACUGACGCUCAUGCACGAAAGCGUGGGGAGCAAACAGG